GGCAGAGGACGACCUCCCCCUGACGGGCUGACACUUCCGGGACGGCCCGG
rnacentral:ncRNA from 1 species